rnacentral:rRNA from 1 species
UACGGAGGGUCCGAGCGUUAUCCGGAAUUAUUGGGUUUAAAGGGUCCGUAGGCGGGCCGAUAAGUCAGGGGUGAAAGUUUGCAGCUCAACUGUAAAAUUGCCUUUGAUACUGUUGGUCUUGAGUUAUAGUGAAGUUGCCGGAAUAUGUAGUGUAGCGGUGAAAUGCAUAGAUAUUACAUAGAACACCGAUUGCGAAGGCAGGUGACUAACUAUAUACUGACGCUGAUGGACGAAAGCGUGGGGAGCGAAC